UAGUCAGACACGUGUCCCACGAGGUCAGGCU
rnacentral:piRNA from 1 species